GGUCAUACGCACUCGAGAUUCUUCGUUCGAAAAUUUUAUCGAUCAUUUCAAACCACUCGAAACGUCUCUCGUCUCAAGCAUACGGUGUCUUAAAUGAUCUAUCAUUUCUUUCGCUCUCCCUGCUCUCUCUAUCUCUCCCGAUUUUCAAACGAUUUGGAAUUCGUAAAAGUUUGAAAUAAUGAUAUUGGGGGGGCAAACUUAACAGAGGUGUUUAGUAAUUCUAUUUUCAGUGGAGAGUGGAGAUAGCCGGAGCCAACGAAACAAAACAAAAAAAAGGGAAAAAAGAUGUAACGUCAUCGAACGGACCGAACAAUUUUGUGAGCUAAAAAUUUUUUUUAGGACAAAAAGCAAACGUUCCGACUGAUCACGACGUCACAGUGUAUAAUAUAAUGUUGAUGCAGAAUCAGAUUGACUGAUUCGAUUCUACAGAUAUCAAGAAGAAAUACAUAGUUCCGUGAUGCCGUCGUUUGGCUAAUUGGUGUGAUAACUUUUAAAAAAACGCAUUGUCGCGAUCCUUAAGCAGUAUUGUGUACUAUGGUUUCUCUUGGUGUGAUGCAAAAUGUCUGAAACUGCAGUUCUGCUGGAUAAUCAGAUAGAUAUUAUAUUGCCAAAUGAGAAUCUGCUUUAUGA